rnacentral:lncRNA from 1 species
AUUUACAUCAGUAAUGUUCAGCAGAAGUUUUAAUUUGACAUCUUUACAUUAUUAUUUAUUUUCUCGUCUUAAUCAAAACUCAUCAACCAUGUAUUAUAAACGUGCUGGCUGUGCUGGCCCUCGUCAGUGUCCCCCAAACUUAAACCCUCUCUCUCCUCAGGGCAGUGCCGGGUUCGGAUACCAGGGCUCUAAGGGUGAGCCGGGCCCCGCUGGCCCCGCAGGCCCCCCGGGGCCCCCCGGUCCCCCGGCUCAGUACUCCAUGAACAGCGAUGGGGCCGUGGUGUCCACUGUCCCCGGCCCUAUAGGCCCCCCAGGAGCCCCGGGCCCCCAGGGAAAGCCCGGCGACGACGGAGAGCCGGGAGAUCCAGGAGAAGACGGGAAAACUGGCCCUAAAGGACCUGCGGGAUUCCCAGGGACCCCUGGAGACACCGGCCCCAAAGGAGAGAAGGGCGAUCGUGGAGACGGUGACCCCGGACCCAGAGGCCCCCGGGGCCCCCAGGACCCCCCGGCCCUGGACUCAGAUCGACGUUUGUGGACAUGGAGGCCUCUGGGUUCCCCGACCUGGAGACGCUCAGGGUGAAGCUCCAUCAGAUAAAUGAAC